CCAGCCCUACGGGGCGCAGCAGUGGGGAAUAUUGCGCAAUGGGGGGAACCCUGACGCAGCAACGCCGCGUGAGUGAAGAAGGCCUUCGGGUUGUAAAGCUCUUUAAUCAGGGACGAAGAAUGACGGUACCUGAAGAAUAAGCCACGGCUAACUACGUGCCAGCAGCCGCGGUAAUACGUAGGUGGCAAGCGUUGUCUGGAUUUACUGGGUGUAAAGGGCGUGUAGCCGGGCCGGCAAGUCAGAUGUGAAAUCCCAAGGCUCAACCUUGGAACUGCAUUUGAAACUGUUGGUCUUGAGUAUCGGAG
rnacentral:rRNA from 1 species